ensembl:lncRNA
UGAUUGUUUUUUAUCCUGUAAAGCACUUUGGCUGGCCACUGGCCUUUAAAAGUGCUGUAUAAAUAAAAUUGACAUUGACAUUCUGGUAUUUAUAACACAAAAACAGUAAUCGUAUGGUAACAAACUGUAAUCCAAUAUACAACAACAUACCGUAAAUUACGGUAGGGCACGGUAAAUAAAACAGUAAAUUACUAGUGUCAACUGCCAGUAAAUUGCAGUUAAUUCACAGUCAAAUUCGUUCAAGUUUAUGGUAACAUACAGUAAUCCAUUUUACAGUAACAUAGUGCAAACGCCAUUUGUGGUAUUUUACCGUAAAAUAACGCUAAAAUAAUGUUUACUUGUAACUUGUAAUUCCUGUUCUUUUUUAAGAUGAUUCACAAAGUCGCUGGUGUACAUGUAUUAUUAUUUCAAUAAAUAACAAGACAGUUCAUUUUCUGUGCAUUCAUUUGUUAAACAUCACGCUUAGAGCAGAGCAGAUUUAAAGCCCUACAUUUGUAUUUCCUUCCUUCCUGUCUUCAGUUUUGAAUAAGUAACAAAAGCUCAAGUAUAGCUAACAAUGGUCUUAUUGAAUAUUAUUUGCACUAAAUAUCCAAAAUGAUUAUUAAUAAUUACUCAAAAGCAUUUUUUAAUAGCAGGUGUACAACAACUGCCAGCUGUUGAUGUUGAAAUGUGAUGUUAAAAAAAUCUUUGGGUAGACUUGAAGAAACUCCAGAGAUGAAUAAAUUGUACUAAAACGGAUUGAAUAGAAAAUUGUGCUACAGUAAAUUUCUCCAAAGGAGGACUAGAGCGGCAUCAGCAGGCCACAGCACACGUUUGCUGUCUAUGCUGAAGCUGUGAGCCACAAACAAGGGAUGACAUCACGUUCAUUAUAACCGCCCAUUUUGUUGAUCUAAUGCAGGAACUUCCUCAAAAAAGUAAAACUUGACCUCCAUUUUGAAUUCAGCAUGGGUUCCAUUUUGUAUGAGAACAUAAAUCCUCAUACAAAUGCACUUAAAAAAUGCACUCCUGAUUCUUUAAUAACAGGCGUGUGCUUAUAAUAAACUGUGUCCCCCGUUGUGUACACUGGGUGACGGUCCACUAAGCAGGAAUUAGCUCGGUAUUUAGGUUGUGGAUGCACGGUGUUUGUCAGGUGUUUGACCGCGGAAGGGCAAAUGGUUUUUGAACGCUAAACCGGAUGUUGGAAUCCACCACAAACUGUUGCAUGUGAAACCUGGAAUGAAGUGUCUCACACACAACGAUGGGAAAGCAACAGCAACAUGCAGGUGACUCGUCACCCCAUGGCUCAACAAAAGCUGACUGAGCUCCUACAACAAGUGGAGUUAUUGAAUAUUGUUUGCAAUACAUAUAACAAAUUAUAUUUAUUACUAAUUACUCAAAAGCAUUAAAAAAAUAAUAAUAAUAACAGGUGUGGAACAACAAGAAUAAGCCGGUCUACAUAAGAAUGAUUUUGAUCAGACGUUUUUAUUCUUAAACUCAUUAUUCAUUUCUUAAUGACCAACACAUUUUUACUGUUACCUGACAUGAAUAUAGCAAAAUGUAUACGUUGCAAAUAAACCCUAAACAGCACAUGACGUGAGCAGCAUUAAAUAAAUCUGUAAUAACCCAGAUCGAUAACAAAACUGUAAAUAGACGCAUGCUGCCACCCAGUGGUAGAGAUGAAUGUGAACACGUUUACUCUGCUCUGCUCAAAUAUCAGAGCAAAAUAUCACGAGUCUGCGACCACACACCACUUUGAUUAAACCACAUUAUUAACUAUAUUAUUAUCUACAUUGCAUAAAACAGUGGACCAACUAAUGAGUAUUGCUGCGUGGACGGAUGAAUGAACGCUGCAUGUAGUCAACCACUGUUGCCAACACACCGGAUUAUUAAUAAUAUUAUUAAUAUACAUUUAUUAACUUUUCUUCCCUGGUUUAUGUUUGUGUAACGAGACGUUAGACGGAUCAUUACAGCGAUAGGCGGGUGGGUGUCACGUGGGCGCCCCACGUGGGCGGGGCAACCUGUAGCUUACGGCCUCAGUCUGCCGAUCGCUGUCGAGCCGGUAAGUUGGUCCCUCGCAUGCUCCCUAGCUAACAUGCUAAUGAACAGUUAGCUCACAUUGUUUAUUCUGGUAAACCGCUAUAAAAGCUGGAUGACACGAGGUGUCCUUUCCGAGGACACUAACCCCUCUAUGUUCAUCGAGUAAGUCAUGUUGAUAUGUUUAUUAGUUUUGUAAAGUUAGUCUGCCGCACGCUGUCUAAAUGGUAGAAAAACUUGCUGCCAUAGUAAAAUGAACUAUGAAACGGUAAAAUGAACUAUGAAACGGUAAAGCGAACUGAAACGGUAAAGCGAACUAUGAAACGGUAAAGCGAACUAUGAAACGAUAAAGCGAACUAUGAAACGGUAAAGCAAACUAUGAAACGGUAACUAUGAAACGGUAAAGCGAACUAUGAAACGGUAAAGCGAACUAUGAAACGGUAAAGCGAACUAUGAAACGGUAA